CGGGGACUAGCUCAGAUGGCUAGAGUGCUGCGUUCGGGACGCAGAGGCCGCCGGUUCGAGUCCGGCGUCCCCGA
rnacentral:tRNA from 1 species